UACGUAGGGUGCGAGCGUUAAUCGGAAUUACUGGGCGUAAAGCGUGCGCAGGCGGUCAUUUAAGUCUGCUGUGAAAGCCCCGGGCUCAACCUGGGAAUUGCGGUGGAAACUGGAUGGCUGGAGUGUGGCAGAGGGGGGUGGAAUUCCACGUGUAGCAGUGAAAUGCGUAGAGAUGUGGAGGAACACCGAUGGCGAAGGCAGCCCCCUGGGCUAACACUGACGCUCAGGCACGAAAGCGUGGGGAGCAAACAGG
rnacentral:rRNA from 1 species